rnacentral:ncRNA from 1 species
AUUAGUUAUUAGCAAAAUUAUACAUGCAAGAUUCAUCAAUCCAGUGAAAAUGCCCUCCAGCUCAUCAAUUGAUCCAGAGGAGCGGGUAUUAAGCGCACUUAAAUGUUGCUCAUGACACCUUGCUCAGCCACACCCCCACGGGAUACAGCAGUAAUAAAAAUUUAGCAAUAAAUGAAAGUUUGACUAAGUUAUGCUAACAGGCCUUAGGGUUGGUAAAUCUCGUGCCAGCCACCGCGGUCAUACGAUUAACCCUAAUUAAUAAACCCCGGCGUAAAGAGUGUAUAAUGUAAAACCAAAAUAGGAUUAAAAUUUUCCUAGGUCGUAAAAAACAAUUGGUAAAAAGAAAAUCAUUUACGAAAGUACUCCUAGUAUACUUAAAUACACUAAAGCUAAGACUCAAACUGGGAUUAGAUACCCCACUAUGCUUAGCCAUAAACAUAGAUAUUUAAUAACAAAAAUCUCCGCCAGAGAACUACUAGCAACAGCUUAAAACUCAAAGGACUUGGCGGUGCUUCAAACCCAUCUAGAGGAGCCUGUUCUAUAAUCGAUAAACCCCGAUAAACCUCACCAUUUCUUGCUAAUACAGCCUAUAUACCGCCAUCUUCAGCAAACCCUAAUAAGGAAAUAUAAGUAAGCACAACUACCCCUGUAAAAACGUUAGGUCAAGGUGUAGCUAAUGAAAUGGAAAGAAAUGGGCUACAUUUUCUUCUAUCUCAAGAAAAAUAAACACGACUACCUCCAUGAAAACUGGAGCUUAAAGGAGGAUUUAGUAGUAAAUUGAGAAUAGAGAGCUCAAUUGAAUUAGGCCAUGAAGCACGCACACACCGCCCGUCACCCUCCUCAAGUUUAUACUCAAUUUUACCAAAAAAAUUAAUUCAUACUAGAGGAGACAAGUCGUAACAAGGUAAGCAUACUGGAAAGUGUGCUUGGA